CGGCAACAGCUCAAAUUUGAAAUCUGGCCUUGGCCCGAGUUGUAAUUUGUAGAGGAUGCUUUUGGUGCGGUGCCUUCCGAGUUCCCUGGAACGGGACGCCUUAGAGGGUGAGAGCC
rnacentral:rRNA from 1 species